rnacentral:rRNA from 1 species
UGGGGAAUUUUGGACAAUGGGGGCAACCCUGAUCCAGCAAUGCCGCGUGUGUGAAGAAGGCCUUCGGGUUGUAAAGCACUUUUGUCCGGAAAGAAAUCCCUUGCCCUAAUACGGCGGGGGGAUGACGGUACCGGAAGAAUAAGCACCGGCUAACUACGUGCCAGCAGCCGCGGUAAUACGUAGGGUGCGAGCGUUAAUCGGAAUUACUGGGCGUAAAGCGUGCGCAGGCGGUUUUGUAAGACAGGCGUGAAAUCCCCGAGCUCAACUUGGGAAUGGCGCUUGUGACUGCAAGGCUAGAGUAUGUCAGAGGGGGGUAGAAUUCCACGUGUAGCAGUGAAAUGCGUAGAGAUGUGGAGGAAUACCGAUGGCGAAGGCAGCCCCCUGGGACGUCACUGACGCUCAUGCACGAAAGCGUGGGGAGCAAACAGGAUUAGAUACCCUGGUAGUCCACGCCCUAAACGAUGUCAACUAGCUGUUGGGGAUUCAUUUCUUCAGUAACGUAGCUAACGCGUGAAGUUGACCGCCUGGGGAGUACGGUCGCAAGAUUA